CUCUUUUUUAUUUAUUAGAUAUGGUAACCCUAUGCUAACCUAGCCAGACUAUGGUUCCUUUGUCUUAAAGUGGGUUCCUCUUUUUUGUCUCCUGUUGCAGUUACAUUGGUUUUCCUAUAGAAGAAACUGCUGUCCCUGCUGCCUCUUGAAAAGAGAAUGGAUGGGAGGGCUUAAGAGUCUCGCCUUCCUUGAUAAAGAUCUAAUCAUCACACUGUUGCUGCAUCCCUUAUCAGGGUCCUCUGCUGCGGUUACUAUGGUAUGGUUUGUAGUGAUUUGUAAUACAGAGGUCCCAGCCGGGUUGGGGGCCCCAGUGUGCUAGGUACUGCACAGAUGCAUCAUAGAAAGAAGUCCCUGUCUCCAAUUACAUCUAAUCUUAGCUUAAGCUAAGGCAUGUGGCUGAAACAAGUGGGGAAGAUGGCACUUCGGCCUGGUUCUUGGAGCCCUACGUCUUCCAGACUCCAGGGUUCUGAGCCACAGACAAGGACCUCUUUCUUGCUGCCAUAGUUUCUGCAGGGGCAGGGUUAAGAGCCAAAUACUCUGGCCAACUUUUCCCUUCCCCAGCUAGUGCCAGACGUGUUUUUAACAGUUCCUGCCCUCUUAUUUAACCAAGACAUUUUUUUUUUAGCUAGCUUUUGUCCUUCACAGUCAAACAGUGCCUCUUGCAGUUAGAAAAGCCUUGAAACUCUGCUUAGGAAUUUUAUUACUGCAAAUGAUUCUUAUGAGAGGGGCCCAGGAAGGGGGCCAACAGUUGUAGUUACUUUAGCUUACUGAUUUUAAACUUGUGUUCAGAAGUCCUGUUUGGCAGAAGGGACUUGUCCUCUGAAUAUUAGAGUUCACUACUUGGCCUUUAGCCACUUGCUGAGCAGAAAGAGUAGAAAUAGCCUCACUGAAGUUCCAUGCAAAUCUGUGUAUGAUCUUUCCAGCAUACUUCCACCCAGCUCUACUGUGUAAAUACGUGUAUAUGAGCCGAUGGAUUUUAACUGGUUCCCGUUACUGUAGUAUUUGAGCAUUUGACCAUCUUUAAUGUAGUUAUCCUCACAACAGCCCUAUGAGGUAGGGAAGAGGCACGAAGAGGCUAUGUGACUUGCCCAAGGGUCACACUGGAAGUCUGGGGCAGAACAAGGAACUGGACACGGGUCUCAUGAGUCCCAGGCCAGUUCCCUAAUCACUGGACCAUCCUUCCAGCUCUGAGUGCCAAAAUCAGAUGUUCCUCAAGACACUGCACUCCCCAACUCCUGCUCUUGAUGUGUAGGAUAAAGAUGGACCCUCCACAUCUCUCCCUAGCCCCAAGCUUGCAGACUAGCAUUAGGAGUUUCUCCCCCACCACACUCUCCCUAUCAAACUUUUCCUCGGUAUUUUUCUUUCAGAUGCUCCUGAUGAUGUGUUCAGAACAGGUACACACUUAUGUAAGAAUGCCGCCUCGUUGUUACCUGCUUUGAAGAGAUUUUUAGACAUUGUGUAAAUGGUGUGUCAACACGGCUAAACCACCUUGCUGGAAUUUACCCUUCCCGGGCUGAUAUUUGUGAGCUGAAGUCACUAGUAGAAUUCCAGCCUGACAACUUUUCAACUUUGUUUAAACUUUUAGUCACAACUACUAUCUUCCAUAACAAAGAACGGGACCCUUUCACUAAUUUUUUUUUGGUAUGUUUAUUUCUUAAGUCCCUGCUUGUAAGCAUUGCUUUUAUUCCUGAAGGCUGUGGGAGAUCCCUCUGGGAAUUGUAAUAAGUAGCAGCACUACAAGUCCUCUGAGGCAGGUGUUUGGGGACACACGAGAAACUGCUACAGCGGCGCAGCUGUAGCGUAGACACUUACUACAGUGAUGAAGGGGUUCUUCUGUCACUGCAGUAAAUCCACCCCUCCAAAGGUGCUAGUUAGGUUGACAGAAGAAAUCUUCCAUCAACCUCGUGGUGUCUACACUGGGGGUUAGGCCAUCUUAAUUACAUCAGACAGGGUGUGAAAUUUUUAACAGCUCUGAUACUCCUGCCACUCUCGGCAACAGAAAUUCACUGUUUGUCGUACAUUAGAGAUGCAUUUACAGGUAAAAAUUCUAAUCUAGGUGUCAACGGAAAAGUCUUCUGUAUGCCUAUCACAUAUGUAUGCUCAUGUAGUGAUUGGGGCUGGCCACUUGAAGGAAUCAUGAUCAUAUGCCCUAGGCUGUUAUACACAUUAUCUAGUAGUUGGAGCAAUGGCCACCGGCGUUAUGAUUUCAGGUUUGUAUACCCAGCUCCACAGCUGAUUUACUGUGUACCCAUAAGCAAGUUAUCCAACCUUUGCAAAAGCUUUCCCCAUCUGUAAGAUGGAAAGUCUUGACCACAUUAAAGGGUAUUAGAGGGACACUGCCUACUUCUGCUUUCUAUCAAUAAUAGAUAAAAGAAAAACCCCACCUAUUAGGUAUUAACUGAAAGAUUUUGUUUUUGUUUUCUCAGUCUACUUUGUCACAAAGUCUUUGUGCAUUGUGUGUAUGUGUUCAGUUUCUCCUGUUUUUUUCAUAUGGCAAGAGGGGAGAGCAAAAUGGGGUAAAACCACAAAAUUGGCAUAGGAACUUAGGCAAGUAUAGGAUGUGAAUCUACUUAGGAAUCUCUUCAGAUUGAGUUAUUUGAUGAUGCUUGUAAAGAGUGAUGCUCUUGAUGAGAGGUGCUAUAAAAGCUAUUUUUGGGGUGGGGAAAGACAUUAGGUAGCUUAAAUAAGCUUUGCACACCCUCAUUUCCUUGGACAGAGAUUUUUACAAGCUAAUCUUGAAAUGGUGUCUAGUAUGUUUUAAACUAAAACUGGUUAGACUAGCAAAACCAAUAUCCUAUAGAUGUUGACCCCAAUAUGGCAAGGUUCUUGAGGAUGUGAAGACAAUAGGUAAAGUUGCACAUGGGUAUUUAAGCACCUUAUUGAAUCAGCACUUUAAUGCAAUGAUUGCAUUUCCAUUUCCAAAGAGAUGAAAAAAUACAUACAGCAGAAACCUGUAUCUGGAACAUUUUAUUAAAUACAACAUUACAAAAAUCAGUGCAGACUUGUUAGCUCUUGCCAACUUUUUACUAUAAGAAGGUUUCUGAAGCUAAGAAGCUCAGUGUUUCUUAAAGUUAUAAGACCUUUGGCCCUGAUCCUACACCCACAUAGAGCUUUGGGUCUAGCCACGCAGAAAUCAUUACAGGAUCAGAGCCCUAGAUUCCUGGGCCAUUUUAAAUGGCACCUAUUCAAAUAAAAGACAAAUGGUUAAGCUAAACUGUUGCCAUUAACUGAGUAGGUAUUAUGCAAACACUUUUCCCUAAAUUAAUAGCACUGAGGUAUCCUGAAAGUUACUACUGCUAGUAAAUGUAUAACUCAGCUCUGAUUUUACUGCUGAAUGGAGUUUACACAGAUUUAAGCCUGGAUUCUGCCAAUACCUAUGCAUAGACUACGCAUGUCCUUAAAGUUAGGCAUGUGCAUAAGUCUUGGCAAGGCCUUAGUGAGAAUCUCAUUUAAAUACAGG